GUCCUACGGGACGCAGCAGUGGGGAAUAUUGCGCAAUGGGCGAAAGCCUGACGCAGCGACGCCGCGUGAGGGAUGAAGGCUUUCGGGUUGUAAACUUCUUUUAUUCGGGACGAAGAAAGUGACGGUACCGAAUGAAUAAGCCACGGCUAACUACGUGCCAGCAGCCGCGGUAAUACGUAGGUGGCAAGCGUUAUCCGGAUUUAUUGGGUGUAAAGGGCGUGUAGGCGGGAAUGCAAGUCAGAUGUGAAAACUCAGGGCUCAACCCUGAGCCUGCAUUUGAAACUGUAUUUCUUGAGUGCUGGAGG
rnacentral:rRNA from 1 species